rnacentral:rRNA from 1 species
UCUGGUUGAUCCUGCCAGUAGUCAUAUGCUUGUCUCAAAGAUUAAGCCAUGCAUGUCUAAGUACAAACCUUAAUACGGUGAAACCGCGAAUGGCUCAUUAAAUCAGCUAUGGUUCCUUAGAUCGUCUCAUCCUACUCGGAUAACUGUGGAAAAUCUAGAGCUAAUACGUGCUUACAAGCCCUGACCUCACGGGAGGGGCGCAUUUAUUAGAUCAAAACCAAUCGGGGCUUGCCCCGUCUGCUUGGUGACUCUGGAUAACUUUUGUGCUGAUCGCAUGGCCUCUGCGCUGGCGACGUAUCUUUCAAGUGUCUGCCCUAUCAACUUACGAUGGUAGGUGAUAUGCCUACCAUGGUUAUAACGGGUAACGGGGAAUCAGGGUUCGAUUCCGGAGAGGGAGCCUGAGAAACGGCUACCACAUCUAAGGAAGGCAGCAGGCGCGCAAAUUACCCACUCCCGGCACGGGGAGGUAGUGACGAAAAAUAACGAUACGGGACUCUUUUGAGGCCCCGUAAUUGGAAUGAGUACACUUUAAAUCCGUUAACAAGUAUCUAUUGGAGGGCAAGUCUGGUGCCAGCAGCCGCGGUAAUUCCAGCUCCAAUAGCGUAUAUUAAUGUUGCUGCAGUUAAAAAGCUCGUAGUUGGAUCUGAGGACUCGAAUUGGUGGUGCACCAUACGGUGUUACUGCCGAUUCGGCCUACCUAGUCGGUGCUCGCUCUUGGUGUUCUUAAUUGAAUGCCCUGAGUGCCCGGCAAGUUUACUUUGAAAAAAUUAGAGUGCUCAAAGCAGGCCAUUAGCCGGAAUACUUCAGCAUGGAAUAAUGGAAUAGGACUUCGGUUCUAUUUUGUUGGUUUUCGGAACCCGAGGUAAUGAUUAAGAGAGACAGACGGGGGCAUUCGUACUGCGGUGUUAGAGGUGAAAUUCUUGGAUCGCCGCAAGACGAACAACUGCGAAAGCAUUUGCCAAGAAUGUUUUCAUUAAUCAAGAACGAAAGUCAGAGGUUCGAAGACGAUCAGAUACCGUCCUAGUUCUGACCAUAAACGAUGCCAACUGGCGAUCCGAGAUCGUUUGCUUAUUGACCUCUCGGGCAGCCUCCGGGAAACCAAAGUUUUUAGGUUCCGGGGGAAGUAUGGUUGCAAAGCUGGAAGCAACAGUUUCCAGCUUUGGUUGCAAAGCUGGAAACUGUUCAAUUGCAACUCUGCCUGUGACACCAAGUGGUCGGGUUACUUGGUCUGUUCUGGCCCGGAGUCGGUAGGGUUUCCGGCCUUGUGCUCUUUCCUUACUGUUCUCUGUAACGCCGAAGGCGGGGCUUCCACGGUGGGGAAGCGGUUGUACAAAUCCGGCAAAUCCAGCCAAAUGGGUUCCGGACUCUGUCCAACCUGCAACUGGUAACAGCCUCGGCUGGCUAACAUUUGAGCUGGGACUCGCUUGGGAGGAGCGAGGAUAAUAUAAACCUCUAUGUGACUGAGGUGAGGAAUCUGGUUCUCGUAAAAUGGCUGGAGAUCCCGAGCCUGUAAGUCAUAAAUUAGUUCCCCACGAGGGGAGGUGUCGAAUUGAAGCCAGUGCGUGCCCUUACUAGUUUAAGGGAUUGUAUACUUCCUUUGGUGUACCCACCUGGAAGUGCCCAAGGGGUCCU